rnacentral:rRNA from 1 species
ACUCCUACGGGAGGCAGCAGUGGGGAAUAUUGCACAAUGGGCGCAAGCCUGAUGCAGCCAUGCCGCGUGUAUGAAGAAGGCCUUCGGGUUGUAAAGUACUUUCAGCAGUGAGGAAGGCGGAGUCGUUAAUAGCGGCCUCGUUUGACGUUAGCUGCAGAAGAAGCACCGGCUAACUCCGUGCCAGCAGCCGCGGUAAUACGGAGGUGCGAGCGUUAAUCGGAAUUACUGGGCGUAAAGCGCAUGCAGGUGGUUUGUUAAGUCAGAUGUGAAAGCCCGGGGCUCAACCUCGGAAUUGCAUUUGAAACUGGCAGACUAGAGUACUGUAGAGGGGGGUAGAAUUUCAGGUGUAGCGGUGAAAUGCGUAGAGAU